rnacentral:rRNA from 1 species
CCUACGGUGUGCUGCAGUGGUGAAUAUUGCACAAUGGGGGAAACCCUGAUGCAGCAACGCCGCGUUAGUGAUGACGGCCUUCGGGUUGUAAAGCUCUAUCUUCAGGGACGAUAAUGACGGUACCUGAGGAGGAAGCCACGGCUAACUACGUGCCAGCAGCCGCGGUAAUACGUAGGUGGCGAGCGUUGUCCGGAUUUACUGGGCGUAAAGGGAGCGUAGGCGGACGUUUAAGUGAUAUGUGAAAUACUCGGGUGCAACUUGAGUGCUGCAUUUCAAACUGGAAGUCUAGAGUGCAGGAGAGGAGAAUGGAAUUCCUAGGGUAGUGGUGAAAUGCGUAGAGAUUAGGAAGAACACCAGUGGCGAAGGCGAUUCUCUGGACUGUAACUGACGCUGAGGCUCGAAAGCAUGGGGAGCAAACAGGAUUAGAUACCCCAGUAGUC